AACGCACAUUGCGCCCCUUGGUAUUCCGAGGGGCAUGCCUGUUCGAGCGUCAUUACAACCCUCAAGCAUUGCUUGGUAUUGGGCUCCGCUGCUCACCUAGCGGGCCUUAAAAUCAGUGGCGGUGCCGUCGGGCCCUGAGCGUAGUAAAUCUCCUCGCUACAGGGACCCGGUGGACGCUGGCCAUCAACCCCUCACUUUCUAAGUUUGACCUCGGAUCAGGUAGGGAUACCCGCUGAACUUAA
rnacentral:misc_RNA from 3 species